UUGAACGCUGGCGGCAUGCCUUACACAUGCAAGUCGAACGUUAACAGGUCUUCGGAUGCUGACGAGUGGCGAACGGGUGAGUAAUACAUCGGAACGUGCCCAGUAAUGGGGGAUAGCUCGGCGAAAGCCGGAUUAAUACCGCAUACGCCCUGAGGGGGAAAGUGGGGGAUCGCAAGACCUCACGUUAUUGGAGCGGCCGAUGGCUGAUUAGCUAGUUGGUAGGGUAAAGGCCUACCAAGGCGACGAUCAGUAGCUGGUCUGAGAGGACGAUCAGCCACACUGGGACUGCGACACGGCCCAGACUCCUACGGGAGGCACCAGUGGGGAAUUUUGGACAAUGGGGGAAACCCUGAUCCAGCAAUGCCGCGUGUGCGAAGAAGGCCUUCGGGUUGUAAAGCACUUUUGUCAGGGAAGAAAUCCUUUGGGCUAAUACCCUAGGGGGAUGACGGUACCUGAACAAUAAGCACCGGCUAACUACGUGCCAGCAGCCGCGGUAAUACGUAGGGUGCAAGCGUUAAUCGGAAUUACUGGGCGUAAAGCGUGCGCAGGCGGUUGUGUAAGACGGGUGGGAACUCCCCGGGCUUAUCCUGGGAAUUGCAUUUGUGACUGCACGACUAGAGUGUGUCAGAGGGGGGUGGAUUUCACGUGUAGCGGUGAAAUGCGUAGAUAUGGGGAGGAACACCAAUGGGGAGGGCCGCCCCCUGGGAUAACACUGACGCUCAUGCACGAAAGCGUGGGGAGCAAACAGGAUUAGAUACCCUGGUAGUCCACGCCCUAAACGAUGUCAACUAGUUGUUGGGGAUUUACUUCCUUGGUAACGUAGCUAACGCGUGAAGUUGCCC
rnacentral:rRNA from 1 species